rnacentral:rRNA from 1 species
CGGGUAGCGGAACACGUACACAACCUUCCUUUAAGUGGGGGAUAGCCCAGAGAAAUUUGGAUUAAUACCCCGUAAGAUUAUGAGAUGGCAUCAUUUUAUAAUUAAAGCUCCGGCGCUUGGAGAUGGGUGUGCGGCUGAUUAGGUAGUUGGUGUGGGUAAUGGCCCACCAAGCCUUCGAUCAGUAACUGGUGUGAGAGCACGACCAGUCACACGGGCACUGAGACACGGGCCCG